rnacentral:rRNA from 1 species
GACGAACGCUGGCGGCGUGCUUAACACAUGCAAGUCGAACGGAAAGGCCCUGCUUUUGUGGGGUGCUCGAGUGGCGAACGGGUGAGUAACACGUGAGUAACCUGCCCUUGACUUUGGGAUAACUUCAGGAAACUGGGGCUAAUACCGGAUAGGAGCUCCUGCUGCAUGGUGGGGGUUGGAAAGUUUCGGCGGUUGGGGAUGGACUCGCGGCUUAUCAGCUUGUUGGUGGGGUAGUGGCUUACCAAGGCUUUGACGGGUAGCCGGCCUGAGAGGGUGACCGGGCACACUGGGACUGAGAUACGGCCCAGAAUCCUAAGGGAGGCAGCAGUGGGGAAUAUUGCACAAUGGGCGGAAGCCUGAUGCAGGAACGCCGCGUGCGGGAUGACGGCCUUCGGGUUGUAAACCGCUUUCGCCUGUGACGAAGCGUGAGUGACGGUAAUGGGUAAAGAAGCACCGGCUAACUACGUG